CAUACCACUCUGAACGUGCCCGAUCUUGUCUGAUCUCAGAAGCUAAGCAGGGUCAGGCCUGGUUAGUACUUGGAUGGGAGAAAUGUUGGU
rnacentral:rRNA from 1 species